rnacentral:lncRNA from 1 species
CCCAUAUGCACACAUUCUAAGAGCCACCUCCCGAACGCUGUGAUCAUGUGCUGCCUUAUCACAUGCUGCUUACCUCUGCCUCAUUCCACACACAGAUCCUGGCUCCAGGAAUGAACUGGAGAGAAAGUGAAGCUUUAUUUUUUGCACCCACAAAAUCUAAAUCACAUUCUCUCUUGAAGCAAUACAAAAUUAAGCAAAAUUUGGCCAGAAGACAUGGAAAACAGGAGAAAGCAAAGAUUUUGACAGUCUGAAUGCUUCAGUUCCAAAUCUUUCAAAAUGAUGGGAUUCAAAUUUUCCCUCCAUUGAGGUCCUGAGACCAAUUUUAUCUCCGUUUAAUUCAGAAGCACUGAGUUUUGACUUUAUUUUGAGCUGCACAAAAAUCAUUGUCUCAUCUGAAGCCCUCCACUCCUUGAGGGUUAUGUAAAACUCUGCUUUCCCUCUGUGGGUAUGGUUUGGAAGAUGCUUUCUAGAGACGUACUCCUCAAAUGUGAAUGAACACCUCCGUAUUUGCCUAAAUGUUGGUUCAAGGUACUUUGAGUGAUUGUGUAAGGCCGACCUCCACAUGCAGCAUUCACUUAGCAGGGGCAGAUCUCUGCAACAGCACUUUGGUUCACCUCUGGAGAGAAAACUGAGGAAAAGCCACUACUGAAACUAUUUCUUCAAAUCACACAAGUCCAAACAAGCAGUGAUGUUCUCCCUGCCCUUGGAACGCUUGGAGUUCUUCUUCCAGGGUUAACUACUGCUCCAUCAAUUAUUUCCAAAAAUGCAUUUCUUCACUCUGGGAGGAGGGGAAUUUCCCUAAUUCAUUGCCCAGCUCCACCAUCUUGACGAUAACUGAGCUACUGAACGCAGUUCUCACCUUGCAGAAGGGAGGUCAGCUCUGAGCGAGGGAGGAUUCUCCAUUCCCUUUGCCAUGCAGGAAACACAAGUCAGAUUGUGCUGUGCUAUCAAUAAACUCAGCUUAUUUUUUCAGCAACAAACUAUAAGUUUUUUUCCAGCAAGUGCACUUAAUAUAAUUUUGUUUGCCAAGUGGAGUAGUGUUGCCUCCCUCCUUGAUUACGGUUAAGUAAAAGUGUUUUUGUUUCAAAUGGGAAAACAAAUGGAACAGAUUCUCUGGCCAUCCAACACUCACAUGCACCUCUGGCAUGAAGUUUAUCACUCAGCAUGGGUGGGAGGAAGGAAAUAGCUUUUUGGACACCUCUUGCUACAAUAUGGGAAGCUGAUCGUGAUAGAAGAUAGUCCACAAUCUAUUAUCUUUGACAAUGUUUUACAAAACUGUCACAGUGGUAUGCAAGUCAGAGAAAAAAAGCUUUGGGCCAAAUCCUUAGAAAACACAAAGUCACAUAUACUGGAGAAUUUGCCCGUUUGUCUACAGUGUAUGGAAUUAUUCAUGCCAAAUCACUUCAUAGGAAAAUUUGGGCUUUUUUUCUGGUGCUGGACAAGUUAUUUAGAGGCAUAGUGUUGCUGGUUCCUGCACAAGAACAAUCUCUUUAUCCAUCCAGACUCCACUUAGCUCAGUAUCCUGCUAACUGCAUCCAGGUGGCAAAGGGAAGGCCUGGAAUAGAUGAGCUUUCAGCCCCAGCACUGAACAGCAGAUGAUGCCUGAAGAUAAGCCAAAAGCCUAUGCUUCUUCAUCCCAAAGGAAAUACCCAAAGCAAAGUACCCACACCGUU